rnacentral:rRNA from 1 species
AUUGAACGCUGGCGGCAUGCCUUACACAUGCAAGUCGAACGGUAACAGGUUAAGCUGACGAGUGGCGAACGGGUGAGUAAUGCAUCGGAACGUGCCCAGUCGUGGGGGAUAACUACUCGAAAGAGUGGCUAAUACCGCAUACGACCUGAGGGUGAAAGCGGGGGACCGUAAGGCCUCGCGCGAUUGGAGCGGCCGAUGUCAGAUUAGCUAGUUGGUGGGGUAAAGGCCUACCAAGGCAACGAUCUGUAGUUGGUCUGAGAGGACGACCAGCCACACUGGGACUGAGACACGGCCCAG